rnacentral:rRNA from 1 species
GAUGAACGCUGGCGGCGUGCCUAAUACAUGCAAGUCGAGCGAACGGACGAGAAGCUUGCUUUUCUGAUGUUAGCGGCGGACGGGUGAGUAACACGUGGAUAACCUACCUAUAAGACUGGGAUAACUUCGGGAAACCGGAGCUAAUACCGGAUAAUAUUUUGAACCGCAUGGUUCAAAAGUGAAAGACGGUCUUGCUGUCACUUAUAGAUGGAUCCGCGCUGCAUUAGCUAGUUGGUAAGGUAACGGCUUACCAAGGCAACGAUGCAUAGCCGACCUGAGAGGGUGAUCGGCAACACUGGAACUGAGACACGGUCCAGACUCCUACGGGAGGCAGCAGUAGGGAAUCUUCCGCAAUGGGCGAAAGCCUGACGGAGCAACGCCGCGUGAGUGAUGAAGGUCUUCGGAUCGUAAAACUCUGUUAUUAGGGAAGAACAUAUGUGUAAGUAACUGUGCACAUCUUGAAGGUACCUAAUCAGAAAGCCACGGCUAACUACGUG